rnacentral:pre_miRNA from 1 species
AGAAGUUAAGAAACUGUUUCUUAACUUUUAACUAAAAAAACUAAGAAUCGGUUCUUAAAGUCCUUAUUUAAGAACCGAUUCUUAGCUUUUUAGUUAAAAAUUAAGAAACAAUUUCUUAACUUCC